UCCCUGGUAGUCCAGUGAUUAGGACUCAUCACUUUAACUGCUGUGGCCCGGAUUCAAUCCCUGGUCAGGGAA
rnacentral:tRNA from 1 species